rnacentral:lncRNA from 1 species
UUUAAAGUUUAUUGUUCUUAUAAGCUCUUGGUUGGGACCUAAAAAUUGGUAUCAGAGCCUUCAUCUCGCUUUUGAUCCAGACCACUUUGUGGUAUCAAUAGCAACCUUCGUCCACUAUCUAUCUUGGUUUUGAUCCAGGCCACACUUGUGGUAUCAAACCCUAUUUUUAUCAUCUUUUUCAGUUUUGAUCCGGACCACAUUUUGUGGUAUCAAAAUCUAUAUCUUUCAUAUUUUCUUAUCAACAAAAAAUAUAUAUAGUUGUUGCGGGAAGCUAUCUUUUGAUUUUCUAGUCAGAGAAGAAGACGCUAGACAAAGAAGAUGGAAAGAAGCUAUCUAACAAGAUGUAUGAGGGAUCUCAUGAUCUAAUAAAACACACAUUGAUAAAACUAAUAAAAAUGUUAUUUACUGCAAGUUACAUCAAAUUAUAAUAUUUACUGCAACUCAAGUUCGAUAACUCAUGUUACCAGGAGCCAUUAUUGAUUGGUAACAUUUUUGAAUAAUCUUUUAGUUAAGUCCAUAACUCAAC